rnacentral:lncRNA from 1 species
UAUUUAAACACAAUGUAACAAUAUUCACCAAAGCCCCUCAAAAUCUAAAAAUUACAAACUGCACGAGCUGCAGUUUUCUACACUGCGUACCGGUACUCGGGGAGGAGUACUGGUACUCCACACCAAAAUCUACUCAACCUGAGCCUCGGUCAAGCCUCCAGACUGCGGCGUAUCGGUACCCGCCUGAUGCAGUACCGGUACUCCAGCUCUAAAAUCUGCAGUUUGCAUAUUUUGUUGCCGAAAGCCCGUUCUCGCGUCUAAUAAGCUCCAGAACAGGCAGGUACCCUAUAGACAAACCUCAAAAUAUCCUGAAUAGAUUAAAAUACUAUUCUUACACUAGAACCUUGCAAUUUGCUAAAGUUUAGUGUGUUACAAACUUAUGAACAAUAACCACGAAGUAAGGCACCAAUCAAACAAACUACAACAAUUAGCUCAGGGAAUAACAAAUUACAUGCACAAAGCCUAAUUCACAACAAAUCAUCCGCUAAAUUCGACUUCAAUCUAACAAACUUGUGCCAAAACAAUAAAAAAAACAUAGAUCUGAACAGAAUAAUACCCCAAAACAAUCAUUUAGACAAAUUUGAAACAUCCACACAGAUCUAUGAACAGUAUAACUCUCGAUCGACCACAAAAUGUUGAUCGAUCAUCAAAGAACAUGAAGAGAUCUAUAGAUCGAACCUUAGGAGCAGAAAAAAGGAUUGAUUUGAAGCGAAUUUAUCGAAUGAGAUCUAUUCAUAUUUCUAAUUGAUCACAUUAAUAAGGGAUGACCAAAUCCAUCUUAACAUACAACAAAACAAUAGGCUCAUAUUGGCAACAAUUUAUAUAAUAGAAUAAAAUAUUCCAAAAAUUAUAUAAUAAAUAUAAGGCUAAAUUACAGAAAACCCCUCUGUCAAAACCUGAUUUUUCAAUUUCCCUCCCUGUCAUUUAAAAACCUAUAUUUUGCCCCUUUGUAAAAUAAAAAAUGUUCACUCACCCCCUGUUAUUAGUGAUCCGUUAGGGUUCCGUUUAUAAAAUAUUAUUAUAUAUAUAUUUUUUAUACCAAAAAUGCCCUCAGCCUUCUCUCCUGUUACCAAAAAAUAGUGAGGGGCAAAAUGGUGAUUUUGUCAUCACAGUUUACACCGUACCCCCUUGUGAUC